ACCUGAAUUUUAGAGGUUGUUAUUGUAUUGUGUUUAACUCAUUUUGUUGUGCACGCGUACAAUGACAAAGUUGACUUUGAUGUGUAAUUUGUUCCUUAGUAAACGCAUCCAUAACACAAGUGUCAGUGCAUCUUCCAUUGCAGGCUGUUGGCUAGACGAGUCUCAAGAACUCACUGAACAAUUUCUUGACUUCACCCAAAUUUCUGUUUAGAUUCAGCUAAAAGUGGAGGAAUGAGUUGAUUCUUCUUUAAUCAAAAGCAAAUCCAGAAAUAUCCCAUAGCCCCGGAGGAUGGGAAUUAAAGAAAUCUGCAUGCAAACCUCUUCGUCAGACUACCAAGUGUGGAAGGAAAAGCAGACCAUUUCAUUCGCAUCUAAAUCACCAGUGAAGAUUUUACGGCAGGAUCAGUGCUAAUUUAUGUUACCAGUGGACAUAGAUGACGGACACAGAAUUGGACCCAGCACCAAGAACUACAGAGAAAAGAGAAGGCAGCUGAAGAGCAUUUGGCCAUGGCAGAGAACAGAGCCACUCUAGUCUUUCACAGUGGAAAAUAUCUGGAAUCAUUCUACUUUUCUUGUUUUGUUUUGGUUUGAAUGAACCCAGAGCAAUUGGGAUUGCAGGAGUCAGUGGAGGCUACUGUGAGGUGGUGGGGCCAGGGAGAAGCAGUGGAUUCUGGGUGUGAAAAGAGCACCCCAGUGGAGAGAGAGACCAUCUGGACUGCUGCCACCGAUCUGGCCACCUUCCUACCCAGGGCAGAGAAUCAAACAGCUCGGAAAGAAAUAAAACAGAGGGAAAUUUAUUUUUAUAAAUAGCGGAACCCGCCAGAAGGCAUCGGAAAUGAGAACAGCGAGGUGCUUUGGGCUUGACAUGGGUCUUAAAAUCGAGAGGGGGCGGACAGAUUCGGGGACCAAUGGCAAGCAAAGCAGGGAUUAGUGCCUAUGAUUCUGCAUAGCGACAAAUCACCUCCCUGAUUGACUUUCCCUAGGUAGCGUUUUCUUUAGUAAUAAUGAUGUCUGGAUCCGCGCAAAAAUGUUCUGCGCUGAACAGCCAUCUACCCGUUAAUGAGUUUGCGGCACUUUGAAGUGAGUUAGCGCAAGCAGGAAGUUACUAUAUGAAUGCAACGGUAAAUGAUUAUUUUUUUUCUUCAGCUUCAAGUGCAGCUAGCCGUUUGUUUGUGAAAAAUCUAUAGCCUAUAAAAUGUAUCCAGGCUGGUACAAUAACAUUUUUAAAUAUAUUUAUUUUCCAUAGAUUUCUAGACUUCCUUCAAUAAAAUUAUAGGCUAAUACAAUAUCCAUUCACUGACCACUGAAAUCCAAAUCACUGUAUAAGCAGACUUUCUGCUAAGCACAUUAUUAUAUGCACGUUAUUAUAA